CCUGUCCCUCCCUGCUCGCCUUCCCGCCCGGCCCAACCUCGGCAGGUCCCUUGGCAGGCUCCCGGGGAAGGAUUGCCCGCAAAGGUAGAGGAUCGAAGUUUGCACCCCCGCCGCCGGUGGCGGAGUUUGGCCGGGGCGGCAGCCGGGCUCGGCUCCCGGCGCGCUGUCCUGGCCGCCGCUUCCCUCACCUUUGGAACUCCUCGGCGCCGGGGAAAACAAACCAUAAUGACGCCAAGCGCAGCUGCCGAAGCCUCCGGUUCCCUGGAAUACACCCUCCUUAAAAUAUGACAGCUGAUCCAUUUGGAAACUCACCAAAGGACAGGUCUCUUCCCACUCCCCCGCCAGCCCUUCUACCCGACUGCAAGCUCAAAGUUCUAAAACCAGAAGAAACUGGAGUGUAAAUAUUUCCCCAGUGCAAACCCCAAUAAUCUUUGCUGUGAGCUGACAGGAAUUGCUGUUCCACUGCCCUGGGAUAUCCUGGCUUGAGGUGAGAGCGCAGCCACGCCCAGAGCCCCCAGCCACUCUCCGAGCUUUGGUACCAUCUGUUUGUGCAUGUCCCUGUGGCAGAAGCUCCCACGACAUCUGCCGUGGAGCUGGUACAGCUGCUGCACAAAACAAGGCAUUCUCCAGCCUGCCUUCCCCCACCCCCGACCGCCCCAGCCCAUCUUUCAUUUCUCUGCUUCCUUUUUCUGCCCCUGCUCCCCCUCCGCUCCCUUCACUCUGGCAUUUUUAUUAGGAAUGUUAUUGCUGUUCUUACUGUCCAGGCAUAAGCUGAUCCACAGAGGAGCCUGUGUAAUUUAAUCCCUCAAGCACUAAAUUCCUUCCCCUGUGCCAAGGACACAGGUUUGUUGUUGCCUCCAGCAAUAUCCCAGGCAGAGGAGCUGUGGCGGUGUCACAUCAUCACCCAACGACUUCAUCUACUGCGGCACCAGGAACAGGGGACUGACGAGAUUUACAGAACAUGCUCUCUGCCUGAAUACAAAAUGGUAUCACCUUUACCAGCAAACUCAAGUCACAGGAAACAAAGUGAAACAAAUUUUGCCCUCUUAGGGCUCAUUGUUUCCGUGACUCUGCUUUA